GUAGGUGAACCUGCGGAAGGAUCAUUAACACGUAUCCACGUAUCAACCCCUUUGUGCUUUUUUACGUUUUGACGUACCCUGUCUUGAAGGUGAACCCUGAGGUCUCGUGAGAAAUCUGAAUGGUGUCAGAGUUUGUGCUUCGGCGCGAGCUUUGACUGUUUUCACGGGACUGUUGCAACCCUUUAUUGGGCGGCAUCGGGCUCCUUUCUACCGUACAGGUCUUUUUAGAUGCUUGCCAUUCGACGUCGAC
rnacentral:misc_RNA from 1 species